AAACCUACCAAGCAUGCCUAUUUUGGGGGCCCAAAAAACAAGCUUAAGCCAAGAACUUUAGCAAGAGCAUUUUUCCAUCACUAUUCAGACAACUUGCAUUGGCUCACAACAUCCUUUUCACAUUUCCAGUGUAGCAUGGCAACAUAUUAAACAGACAGCAGUGAGAGCGAUGGCAGUGUGGAGAGAAGUAAAGAGGUAUUUAGAAAAAGCUUGCUAAAGGAACAGAGAUAUAAAUAUUUCUAAUGAGCUUCAGAAAUUGUCUACAGAGUGGCACUACAAGGAAGCCCAAGGAUUUCUAUCUGUGGAGGCCAAGGAAGGAAAGGGAAAAGGGAAGGAAGUCUUGCGGAACAACCUGAGAACAAGUUUCAACACUGACCACUGCCUCAGGGGCUGGAAAUAGCAGCCUGAGUGUCAACACCACAGAUGCAAGUCAUCUCCUUGGCUUUAGGUGAGAUGCAGGUGGCGACAGCUGGCCCGCUGCUCCUCAGUCUACGCUGCU
ensembl:lncRNA